rnacentral:rRNA from 1 species
AUUGAACGCUGGCGGCAGGCCUAACACAUGCAAGUCGAGCGGAGCGACCGACGGGUGAGUAAUGGCUAGGAAUCUGCAUGGUAGUGGGGGAUAACGUCCGGAACCGGGCGCUCGUACCGCAUCCUAUUCGAUGCGCCUUGGUCGAAUUAGCUAGUUGGUGGGGUAAAGGCCUACCAAGGCGACGAUCCGUAACUGGUCUGAGAGGAUGAUCAGCCAAACUGGAACUGAGACACGGCCCAGACUCCUCCGUGAGGCAGCAGUGGGGAAUAUUUGACAAUGGGCGAAAGCCUGACCCAGCCAUGCCGCGUGUGUGAAGAAGGUCUUCGGAUUGUAAAGCACUUUAAGUUGGGAGGCGUUACCAACAGAAUAAGCACCGGCUAACUUCGUGCCAGCAGCCGCGGUAAUUC